CAACUUUCAACAACGGAUCUCUUGGCUCUCGCAUCGAUGAAGAACGCAGCGAAAUGCGAUAAGUAAUGUGAAUUGCAGAAUUCAGUGAAUCAUCGAAUCAUUGAACGCACCUUGCGCCCCUUGGUAUUCCGAGGGGCAUGCCUGUUUGAGUGUCAUUA
rnacentral:rRNA from 1 species